ensembl:lncRNA
CCUCCACCCAGGGACCACGGACCACCCACUGGGAGGUAAGCCGGCCGGCGUCUGUCUGUCUGUCUGAUUUUGUCUCGUUCUGCCUUAUUCUGUCUGUUCUGUGAGCGCUCAGCCAGGUCUGUUCUGUGAGCGCUCAGCCAGGUCUGUUCUGUGAGCGCUCAGCCAGGUUGUUUGGAAUUUGGGCGGGACGAAGAAGGAGCUGACGAGCUCGGACUUCUCGCCCCGCAGCCCUGGAAGACGUUCCAAGGGUGUUAGGGGCCCGACUUUUCGGGGCCCAAUCUGGGAGAGGAGAAAGAUCCGGACUAACGGCACCUCUGUCUGUAGUUUUGGCUUUCAGAGGGCCCCGGACCUUUGCCACCUCCAUCUGACUUUUUGCUUUCAGUUUGGUACCAAAGCCGUGCAGCAC